rnacentral:tRNA from 1 species
GCCCGGGUGGCUCAGUCGGUUGAGCGUCCGACUUUGGCUCAGGUCACGAUCUCACGGCUGUGGGUUCGAGCCCCGCAUCGGGCU